rnacentral:rRNA from 1 species
CGAAGGGUGCAAGCGUUACUCGGAAUUACUGGGCGUAAAGCGUGCGUAGGUGGUGAGUUAAGUCUGUCGUGAAAGCCCCGGGCUCAACCUGGGAAUGGCGAUGGAUACUGGCUCGCUAGAGUGCGGUAGAGGAGUGUGGAAUUCCCGGUGUAGCAGUGAAAUGCGUAGAGAUCGGGAGGAACAUCAGUUGCGAAGGCGGCUCUCUGGACCAGCACUGACACUGAGGCACGAAAGCGUGGGGAGCAAACAGGAUUAGAUACCCUGGUAGUCCACGCCCUAAACGAUGCGAACUGGACGUUGGGAGCAAUCAGGCUCUCAGUGUCGAAGCUAACGCGUUAAGUUCGCCGCCUGGGGAGUACGGUCGCAAGACUG